rnacentral:rRNA from 1 species
GGCGGCGAGUGGCGAACGGGUGAGUAAUAUAUCGGAACGUACCCUGGAGUGGGGGAUAACGUAGCGAAAGUUACGCUAAUACCGCAUACGAUCUAAGGAUGAAAGUGGGGGAUUCGCAAGAACCUCAUGCUCCUGGAGCGGCCGAUAUCUGAUUAGCUAGUUGGUGGGGUAAAGGCCUACCAAGGCAUCGAUCAGUAGCUGGUCUGAGAGGACGACCAGCCACACUGGAACUGAGACACGGUCCAGACUCCUACGGGAGGCAGCAGUGGGGAAUUUUGGACAAUGGGCGCAAGCCUGAUCCAGCAAUGCCGCGUGAGUGAAGAAGGCCUUCGGGUUGUAAAGCUCUUUUGUCAGGGAAGAAACGGUGAGAGCUAAUAUCUUUUGCUAAUGACGGUACCUGAAGAAUAAGCACCGGCUAACUACGUGCCAGCAGCCGCGGUAAUACGUAGGGUGCAAACGUUAAUCGGAAUUACUGGGCGUAAAGCGUGCGCAGGCGGUUUUGUAAGUCUGUCGUGAAAUCCCCGGGCUCAACCUGGGAAUUGCGAUGGAGACUGCAAGGCUAGAAUCUGGCAGAGGGGGGUAGAAUUCCACGUGUAGCAGUGAAAUGCGUAGAGAUGUGGAGGAACACCGAUGGCGAAGGCAGCCCCCUGGGUCAAGAUUGACGCUCAUGCACGAAAGCGUGGGGAGCAAACAGGAUUAGAUACCCUGGUAGUCCACGCCCUAAACGAUGUCUACUAGUUGUCGGGUUUUAAUUAACUUGGUAACGCAGCUAACGCGUGAAGUAGACCGCCUGGGGGAGUACGGUCGCAAGAUUAAAACUCAAAGGAAUUGACGGGGACCCGCACAAGCGGUGGA